rnacentral:rRNA from 1 species
UUAAAUUGAAGAGUUUGAUCAUGGCUCAGAUUGAACGCUGGCGGCAGGCCUAACACAUGCAAGUCGAACGGUAACAGGAAGAAGCUUGCUUCUUUGCUGACGAGUGGCGGACGGGUGAGUAAUGUCUGGGAAACUGCCUGAUGGAGGGGGAUAACUACUGGAAACGGUAGCUAAUACCGCAUAACGUCGCAAGACCAAAGAGGGGGACCUUC